rnacentral:lncRNA from 1 species
CUGCCUAAUGAAAUCAGUGUGCAUGCAAUGAUCUUAUGCUUUACAACUGCUGCUUAAGGCUAUUUGACCAUACUUUCCAAAGGUCAGUGCACAAAAUCAUAGCUGAAAGAAAAAAGGAUUGGAGUAAUUUGCUCUGUCCAAUAAGAAUCGUGGUGACCUUCCUCUUAAGAUGGUCUUAACCUGGUUAUUAGUGAUAUGCUUGAAGUUUUUUAUAAGAACAGGUGUUUUCCUGUGAUCCAGGUGAAGAAUUCCAGCUUCUUUGCACUUCCAACUGAAAUCAUGGUUCCUGUUUUUCAGCUUACUUGGGUUUAAACAAAUGGCUCCUUCUUUACGGAAGAUAAACAUUCAGCAUCAAUGACAAUAAAACCAGUCAGUGUUUCUCCUGAAUGGAAUCCCAAUGCUACUGCGUCCAUAGCAAAGCUACUGAUUGUUUCCUAUGAGGUAGAACCUGAUUCACACCAAAUUAAUCUUCUACUGUGUUUAUACAUCUGGGUUGUAUGUCUUGGAACAUCAAUUCACAGCUCGGAAGAGAAAAAGAAAGCUGGAGAGGAGAAAGAGCAAAGUGUUUCUGGAGAAGAUGAUCUUCCAUGGAGCUGAGAGAAGAAGGGAUCAUCUUUCUCCUCUUUCACUUCCACUGGAACAAAAAGGGGCAAUACCUUGCUGUACUCUGUGUCUUUGUUUUUAAUCUGCCCAGCUGCAUGCAGUCAUAGAAACCAGUUUGGAAUUUUAAUACCUUCAAUGUUGUGCAAGCAAACGUCUUUUAAGUUCUCUCUGGUUUGAAGAGCUGAGAUAAUUUUGAGCUGUAGUGAGAUGCAGCAAACAGAUGUGGGACCUUUCGUGUGUAUGCAGGUGUAAAUUAACACUCUUUCACAUGCUUAGAAAAGAGAAAAAAUUGGUUUUUAAAUUCUUUUGUUUAUGUCUCUGCAGAGCCUGAGUUGUCCCAGUCAGUCCCGGGGAUUCCCUGUGUUGUAAACUGCAAAUACCAACAAAAAUUGGCUGUCCCUGCUGCAAAGAGCUCAGUCUGCAAAGUCAAAGCAAACAAAGUAAAUAAAGGAAAAAGAGCUGAUGCCA